UAGGGAAUCUUCCGCAAUGGACGAAAGUCUGACGGAGCAACACCGCGUGAGUGAAGAAGGAUUUCGGUUCGUAAAACUCUGUUGUUAGGGAAGAAAAAAUGUAUAGUAACUAUAUACAAAAGAGACGGUACCUAACCAGAAAGCCACGGCUAACUACGUGCCAGCAGCCGCGGUAAUACGUAGGUGGCAAGCGUUGUCCGGAAUUAUUGGGCGUAAAGCGCGCGCAGGUGGUUUAGAAAGUCUGAUGUGAAAGCCCACGGCUCAACCGUGGAGGGUCAUUGGAAACUAAUAAACUUGAGUGCAGGAGAGAAAAGUGGAAUUCCUAGUGUAGCGGUGAAAUGCGUAGAGAUUAGGAGGAACACCGGUGGCGAAAGCGGCUUUUUGGCCUGCAACUGACACUGAGGCGCGAAAGCGUGGGGAGCAAACAGG
rnacentral:rRNA from 1 species